AUUGAACGCUGGCGGUAACUUUUAAACAUGCAAGUCGAGCGGUAACAGACAUAAAGAUUCAGCUUGCUGAAUCCGGUGCUGACGAGCGGCGAACGGGUGAGUAACGCGUAGGAAUCUACCCAGUAGCGGGGGAUAGCCCGAGGAAACUCGGAUUAAUACCGCAUACGCCCUGAGGGGGAAAGGGGGCAGUUUACUGCUCUCACUAUUGGAUGAGCCUGCGUAAGAUUAGCUUGUUGGUAGGGUAAUGGCCUACCAAGGCGACGAUCUUUAGCUGGUCUGAGAGGACGAUCAGCCACAUUGGGACUGAGACACGGCCCAGACAUCUACGGAUGGCAGCAGUUAAGAAUAUUGGACAAUGGGGGCAACCCUGAUCCAGGUAUACCGCGUGUGUGAAGAAGGCCCUAGGGUUGUAAAGCACUUUAAUCAGAGAAGAAGCAAUUUAAGUUAAUACCUUAUUUUGUUGACGUUACCUGAAGAAUAAGGACCGGCUAACUCCGUGCCAGCAGCCGCGGUAAUACGGAGGGUCCAAGCGUUAAUCGGAAUUACUGGGCGUAAAGCGCGCGUAGGCGGUUUAGCAAGUUGUAUGUGAAAGCCCUGGGCUCAACCUAGGAACUGCAUCCAAAACUACUAUGCUAGAGUACGAGAGAGGAGAGUAGAAUUUCUGGUGUAGCGGUGAAAUGCGUAGAUAUCAGAAGGAAUACCAAUGGCGAAGGCAGCUCUCUGGCUCGUCACUGACGCUGAGGUGCGAAAGCGUGGGUAGCAAACAGGAUUAGAUACCCUGGUAGUCCACGCCGUAAACGAUGACAACUAGCCGUUGGGCAGAUUUAACUGUUCAGUGGCACAGCUAACGCACUAAGUUGUCCGCCUGGGGAGUACGGCCGCAAGGCUA
rnacentral:rRNA from 1 species